CUACGGGAGGCUCCAGUCGAGAAUCUUCCGCAAUGGACGAAAGUCUGACGGAGCGACGCCGCGUGGUGGAUGAAGUCCUUCGGGACGUAAACACCUUUUAUGAGGGAGGAAGUCUAUUGACGUUACCUCAUGAAUAAGGGGCUCCCAAUUCUGUGCCAGCAGGAGCGGUAAUACAGAAGCCUCAAGCGUUACCCGGAUUUACUGGGCGUAAAGGGUGUGUAGGUGGUGUGAUUAGUCGUGCGUCAAAUCUUCGGGCUUAACCCGGAGCUCGCGCAGGAAACGGUCACACUCGAGGAAGUGAGAGGUGUGUGGAACUCAAGGUGUAGGGGUGAAAUCCGUUGAUAUCUUGGGGAACACCAAAAGCGAAGGCAACACACUGGCACUUUCCUGACACUGAAACACGAAAGCGUGGGUAGCGAAUCGGAUUAGAUACCCCGGUAGUC
rnacentral:rRNA from 1 species